UACGGGGGGGGCAAGCGUUGUUCGGAAUUACUGGGCGUAAAGGGCUCGUAGGCGGCCAACUAAGUCCGACGUGAAAUCCCAAGGCUUAACCUUGGAACUGCGUCGGAUACUGGAUGGCUUGAAUUCGGGAGAGGGAUGCAGAAUUCCAGGUGUAGCGGUGAAAUGCGUAGAUAUCUGGAGGAAUACCGGUGGCGAAGGCGGCAUCCUGGACCGACAUUGACGCUGAUGAGCGAAAGCCAGGGGAGCAAACGGG
rnacentral:rRNA from 1 species